ensembl:rRNA 5S_rRNA 5S ribosomal RNA
GUCUAUGGCCAUGCUACCCUAAACACUCCCAAUCUCGUCUGAUAUUGGAAACUAAGCAGGGUCGGGCCUGGUUAGUACUUGGAUGGGAGACCAACUAGGAAGACCAGGAAAUGUAGGCG